GACAGAGGGUGCAAACGUUGUUCGGAAUUACUGGGCGUAAAGCGUGUGUAGGCGGCCACGUAAGUCGGGGGUGAAAUCCUGGAGCUCAACUUCAGAAUUGCCUUCGAUACUGGCUUUCUAGAGGCUGGAAGAGGUUAGUGGAAUUCCCAGUGUAGAGGUGAAAUUCGUAGAUAUUGGGAAGAACACCAGUGGCGAAAGGCGGCAUCCUGGACCGACACUGACGCUGAGGAGCGAAAGCCAGGGGAGCAAACGGG
rnacentral:rRNA from 1 species